rnacentral:rRNA from 1 species
UACGUAGGUGACAAGCGUUGUCCGGAUUUACUGGGCGUAAAGAGCGCGCAGGCGGUCGAUCAAGUCGAGUGUGAAAGCCCCCGGCUCAACUGGGGAGGGUCAUUCGAUACUGAUCGACUCGAAGGCAGGAGAGGGUAGUGGAAUUCCCGGUGUAGUGGUGAAAUGCGUAGAUAUCGGGAGGAACACCAGUGGCGAAGGCGACUACCUGGCCUGUUCUUGACGCUGAGGCGCGAAAGCUAGGGGGAGCAAACGGGG